GACGAACGCUGGCGGCGUGCUUAACACAUGCAAGUCGAACGGAAAGGCCCUGCUUUUGUGGGGUGCUCGAGUGGCGAACGGGUGAGUAACACGUGAGUAACCUGCCCUUGACUUUGGGAUAACUUCAGGAAACUGGGGCUAAUACCGGAUAUGAGCUCCUGCUGCAUGGUGGGGGUUGGAAAGUUUCGGCGGUUGGGGAUGGACUCGCGGCUUAUCAGCUUGUUGGUGAGGUAGUGGCUUACCAAGGCUUUGACGGGUAGCCGGCCUGAGAUGGUGACCGGCCACAUUGGGACUGAGAUACGGACCAGACGCCUACGGGAGGCAGCAGUGGGGAAUAUUGCACAAUGGGCGGAAGCCUGAUGCAGCAACGCCGCGUGCGGGAUGACGGCCUUCGGGUGGUAAACCGAUUUGGCCGGUGACGAAGAGUGAGUGACGGUAAUGGGUAAAGAAGCAACGGCUAACUACGUG
rnacentral:rRNA from 1 species